ensembl:lncRNA
UUGUAAGAGAAAUGAAUUAUCUGUGAGAUUCAGUGAACAAGGCUGGAAGGACUGGGUAUUGGCUCCUACGGGUUACUCUGCCUUCUACUGUGAUGGAGAAUGCCUCUACCCUCUGUGUUCCUGCAUAAACUCCACCACCCACACUAUGAUCCAACUAGUGGUGAGUUGAACCUGCCUGUGGGUGCGGUAGGGAUAUUCCUGGGAGGUCUACUGAUGAAGAGGUAUAAGCUUGGCGUUGUGUCUGGAGCCCAGCUGUCUUUCGUCACCUCCUUCAUGGCCUACCUCCUCCUCCCUCUGCAGUCUGGCACUAAGUGUGACAACAUUCAGGUGGCUGGUCUGACCGUGUCCUACAACGGGUCCCCUGGUGUACGAUGGCAGCCUGUUGUCAGAGUGUAACAGAGACUGCUCCUGCUUGGCUGGGGAGUGGGACCCUGUGUGUUCAGACAACGGCAUCACCUACACCUCCCCCUGCCUCGCAGGCUGCUCCAGCUUUACAGGUUAUGGCAAGAACACGGUACCAAUACUAUUAAUGUACUGAGUGUACAACACAUUCACAGGGAUGCUGGCCCAUGUUGACUCGAAUGGCUCCCACAGUUCUGUCAAGUUGGCUGUAUGUCUUUUGAGUGGUGGAUCAUUCUUGAUACACACGGAAAUCUAUUGAGCGUAUAAAACCCAGCAGCGUUACAGUUCUUGACACAAACUGGUACCCCUGGCACCUACUAACAUGCCCCGUUGAAAGGCACGUAAAUAUUUUCUCUUGCCCGUUCACCCUCUGAAUGGCACACACACACAAUCCAUGUCUCAAUUGUCUCAAGCUUUACAAUAUUUUUUUAAAACCUGUCUCCUCCUCCUUAUCUACACUGAUUUAAGUGGAUUUAACUAGUGACAUCCAUAAGGGAUUAUAGCUUUAACCUGGAUUUACCUGGUCAGCAUAAGUCAUGGAAAGAGCAGGUGUUCUUAAUGUUUUAUACACUCAGUGUAACUCAUGGCACUGACACUUACCACUGCAUAUACAUUCAGAGAGUCUAAUCUAGAGUCGGCUUUCUAUUCCACAACAAAGCCUCCUUCACUCACGCCGCCAAACUUACCCUAGUAAAACUGACUAUCCUAC